UUGGUGAGCUAAUGCACGGGCGAGGCUGGGAAUCGGGAGGCUUCUGCUGCUACCAUCGCUGCAGCCAUGGAGGAGUGUCAUCCCCGUAACAAUGAGGAUUAUAACAAGAUGUAUUAGAGAUAGAAGUCCACGUGUCACAUAAAAGCGGAAGUAUAUUGCUUGGCAGAGGUGUGGUGUUGCAAGCUUUCUGUAAAGCACAGGAAUAUUUCUACAUGCUGUUCUUUGUAACCUGUUCCAGUAACUAUAUGUGAUUUCAUGAUAUUCCGUUUCACCCUUGUCUUUGAGUUCCAGAGUCAGCAUGUCCAUUUCUGCACAAGUGAUCUUUAACACUGAAGAAGACUACAAUACUAUUAAAGAUUGCAUAGAAGGUGUUCUAGGCAAAGCAGAUUAUAACCAUGACAGGGUGAAUAAAUUGAUUGCUACUAUAGUAGAACAGUCUCUAGCAAAUCUGGUAAAACUGGGAAAAACAUAUAAGUAUAUUGGCUCACAAAGCCUUGCUUUGUUUCGGCUGCUGCAAUCAGUUGCGUCAGCUAGCAACUGAAUCUGCCUGCCUGCAAUCCAUCUCCUCGAUGAGCAACUUAAACUGGCUGCCUCCAAUUGGUGACCUGUGCUGUGAUGCAGAAAUGUGGGGCUGGUCUGCAUACUGCAAGCUCAUGUUUUUGGGAUACUACAACUGAUGGUACUUGCACAGUCAGAUGGGAAAACAGAACAAUGAAUUGUGUGGUCAGUAUCUUUGCUGUGGCCAUAAUCUUGUAGCAAAGAUUAAAGAUUGUAAACUGGAUAAAAUAAGUUAUUCCAAAGCCUUUUAGGUUAGAAACUAUCAAAUAUCAGAAUGUACUGUAAGAAUUAUUAAAUAGAUGAGAAAAAGAGGUAGGAAAUGUGAUUUUUAAAAUGUUUCUGGAAAAAUGUUUAAAUUAUUCUAAAGCAUUUUUUCUGUCAAUUGGGAGAUUGCUAUGUAUAUGUUGAAUUUAAAAGACAAAAAUGUGCUACAAUUGUAUGAUUUAUAUUUCUGUCCUACAAAAAGGAAAUAAUACAAUUAAUCAAAAACAAAAAAUGCUGUAUUAUCACCAAUACUUUGCAAAUAGGAAAUUAGGACAAAUAUACAAAGAAUAAAUUAUUUAUUAUUAUAUAUUAUAUAUUAUAAGAAGUUGACAUAUAUUUUUCAUUGAGUGACAGAUCUAAUGUUUCGGAAGAAGAUUUUUAAUCUUCUUCAGACCUCUUUGAAACCUCUUUAUUUCUAAAAAUAAUGACUGAUAAGCUUCAGCUUGACUACUAAAAUCUACUACUAGUUUUCUUUAUUCCGAGACAAAUAUCUGCUACUGGCACAGAGAGAACUGAACUAGGUCUCUUGAGAACUGAAUGACUGUCAUAGAAAGCCCACCACUGAAGGAUUCCAUGGUUGUGGUUCAAACUUAUGUGGAGAAAAGUUUCCACAAAACAGUAGGUUUCAAAACCUAUUGUUUAAAAAAGUUAUGUAGUCAGAAUAUAUAUAUGGUAAAUGAACAGAAGAAAGAAAAACAGAUUUUAAGAGGUUUUUCUUUUUUUAGUAAAAAAGUUUUAUUUCCAUUUUCCAACAAUCUAUUCAAUAUACAGUCUCUUAUUCAACAUUAGUCAUUAACUUUCAUUUGUUACUUAUUCGGACCUGCCCAGCUACCACUUCCUUCCUUAACAAACCUUUCCUCCUCCCUUCUCUACUUUCUUCUACUUUCUUCAUCCUUCCUCUCCUUCGCUUUUCUACAUCCUCUCCUCCUUCCCUACUCUUCUCUUCCACCCUUUCUAACCCUCUCU